UUGGCUGUGGUCUGUGUCUGUCAGACGCAGGGCGUGGUUCUCCCAUCCCCCGUGCAGGAGGCGGUUCUGCAGCAGGUGUUUAACAGGGCCAAUCUGACCACAUCAUCAGACACUGAUCUACAGUUCUGGAUCCUGAACAUACUGCCGCCCUUCAUAGCCAACAUUACAGUCCAACUUAUCCAUCAUCCCUCUGUCUCCACAGGCCCCGCCCCGCUGCGCUGCUAUGGUGACCAGAGCUACUACGCUUUCCUGAGCUCCUCCUUCAUGAGUUUCCAGUUCCCCGAUCUGACCACCUUCCUGUCGCUGAUGCCGCCGGCCCGUGUGCCAGAGCUGAUGGAGUCGGUGUCUCCAGCGGAGGUCAGCAGUCUCCUCAACCGGCCCAACGCUGUGGACGAUGUUACCCAAAUCUGCCGGUUUUUCAGAAUUUACCCAAAGACACCCCAGUACUUACAGACGGAGCCGCUGUUGCCCGUGGGUUUGGCCCGGCAGGUGUUGUCCUGCGUCUGGCCUCAGGUUCUGAAGCUGGACGUCCAGUCUGAGGUGAAUCAGUGGUUUGAUCUUCGACUGGUUCAGUACCUGCCUCUCCUCACCCCACAGUUCAUCGCUCCAGACGUCAUGCUAAACGCCUCCUGUCUCUCCUUCAAGAAGUUGUGAGUAGCAGGUUGCCCACAUCACAUUGCUGUGCAGUCACAUCAGAGAAAUUCUGGAGAGAUUUUGCAGACAAAAAAGGUCCGUGCAGUAGGGUAGCGAUGUACCGUAUGAAGCACAGCUCACUCAGAAGUCCCUUUCACAGAGCUCUGGUUAGUGUGACCGUACCUUCACUAUGUGUUCCAGUUGUGUAAAGACGUUGUUCUUCACUUAGGGGUAAACGUUUCAGAUGCAAACUCCAAAUGAACUUAAUUUUGGCCUAAUUUUGUUCAAAAUAACGUCACAUCAGGUUGUUCUUUAAUUUCGCUAGAAUCUCAUCGAGGCUUAGUGCAACUAGUUUUCUUCUAAAGACAUCUAACGAUGACAGAUUCUGUGCGUUUCUCUGUUCAGUGUUUCAGUGAUGGCUAAUUACAACUACACUGCAGCGGAGUUUUCUCCGAGUGACAUCUACAGCACCAUCCUGGUCUACCUCAACACCUGUGAGUCGCUCUGAUCGACGGCGUGACUGAUUCUGCUGUCCAGUAAUGUGAGGGUUUGUCUGAUGCUGAGUCACGUUUGUCUUUGUGUUCUCAGCCUCAGAUUCAACUCCUAAAUGCUAUAACACCUCCAACCCUGAUCUCAGCUCCACCGCCUGGUUCGCAGACUACAUCUCCGUCUUCUUGAGCUUCGUCACACUGGACGACCUCCUCCAGUUUGGCUCCAUUCAGGUGUGUCAACUCACAACUUGAAGAGAUCUCAGAUCUGUUUUCUGUCGUCUGAAUCCGAUCACUCUUAACGGAAUAGUCCAUCUUCACUCUAAUGUCGUUCCAAACUCAACGUGUUUGUUUUUCAGCCGUUCCUCGUGAACCUGGAGAACCUGCAGCUCUUCGGUCAGACCAGCGUUCCUGAUGAUGUCAUGGAGUACUACGUGACCCUGCUGUUCGAGGCGAAUCCGUCCUUCAGCGCCUACUAGUGAGAGACACCAACAACACUCUCAAUAACCAAUCUCACACUGAAAAUAAAGCUUCCCAAAGCAGGUUUUCA
ensembl:lncRNA